rnacentral:rRNA from 1 species
AUUGAACGCUGGCGGCAUGCCUUACACAUGCAAGUCGAACGGUAACGGGCCUUCGGGUGCCGACGAGUGGCGAACGGGUGAGUAAUACAUCGGAACGUGCCCGAUCGUGGGGGAUAACGAGGCGAAAGCUUUGCUAAUACCGCAUACGAUCUACGGAUGAAAGCAGGGGACCGCAAGGCCUUGCGCGGACGGAGCGGCCGAUGGCAGAUUAGGUAGUUGGUGGGAUAAAAGCUUACCAAGCCGACGAUCUGUAGCUGGUCUGAGAGGAUGAUCCGCCACACUGGGACUGAGGCACGGCCCAGACUCCUACGGGAGGCAGCAGUGGGGAAUUUUGGACAAUGGGCGCAAGCCUGAUCCAGCCAUGCCGCGUGCAGGAUGAAGGCCUUCGGGUUGUAAACUGCUUUUGUACGGAACGAAAAGCCUUCUUUUAAUACAGGAGGGUCAUGACGGUACCGUAAGAAUAAGCACCGGCUAACUACGUG